GAUGAAGAACGCAGCGAAAUGCGAUACGUAAUGUGAAUUGUAGAAUUCAGUGAAUCAUCGAAUCUUUGAACGCAUAUUGCGCUCUCUGGUAUUCCGGAGAGCAUGCUUGUUUGAGUAUCAGUAAACACCUCAACUCCCUUUUCUUUUUUGAAAUUGGAGCUGGACUUGAGUGAUCCCAACGCUUUCUUCCAAGAAAGUGGCGGGUUGCUUGAAAUGCAGGUGCAGCUGAACUUUUCUCUGAGCUAUAAGCAUAUCUAUUUAGUCUGCCUAAAAAACAGAUUAUUACCUUUGCUGCAGCUAACAUAAAGGAGACUAGUUCUUGUGCUGACUGAUGCAGGAUUCACAGAGACAGCUUCGGCUGACUUUGUAAACUCGAUCUCAAAUCAAGUAAGACUACCCGCUGAACUUAAGCAUAUCAAUAAGCGGAGGA
rnacentral:misc_RNA from 1 species